UGAGGAAUAUUGGGCAAUGCCCGCAAGGGUGACCCAGCAACGCCGCGUGGAGGAUGAAUGUCGUAAGAUUGUAAACUCCUGUUAGAGGGGAAGAAUAGUACCGGUUGGACCGGUAUAUGACUGUACCCUCAGAGAAAGCCCCGGCUAACUACGUGCCAGCAGCCGCGGUAAUACGUAGGGGGCAAGCGUUGUCCGGAUUUACUGGGUGUAAAGGGCGCGCAGGCGGGAUAAAAAGUCAGUGGUGAAAUCCUACAGCUUAACUGUAGAACUGCCUUUGAUACUUUUAUUCUUGAGUUCGGGAGAGAGAGACGGAAUUCCAGGUGUAGUGGUGAAAUACGUAGAUAUCUGGAAGAACACCAGUUGCGAAGGCGGUCUCUUGGUCCGACACUGACGCUGUGGCGCGAAAGCGUGGGGAGCAAA
rnacentral:rRNA from 1 species